UUUUGUUUUCGAUUUUCAACCAAAAGAUCCUGAAAAUAUAUAUACAGCACUUGAAGUUCUAUCUGGUAGAGCAAUACCUGGAACUAUUCUUGUAAGAAAGUUGACAAAACUGCCAAGAAACAAAUGUUGGCUUGUUGGAUCUUCCAAUUCAGAUGCUAUUGAUGUAGCAAUUAAUUUCAACCAAAAUUGGGAAACUGAUUUGAGAGUUGGCCAUCAUGACUGUCGAGAUUAUACUAAUGGAUUGGUUGAGCAUCUCACUGGCAAAAAAUAUGUGU